rnacentral:rRNA from 1 species
GGCAAAAACAUGCAAGUGCGGAGCCGGACCGACGGGAGCUUGCUCCCUUAGGUCAGCGGCGGACGGGUGAGUAACACGUGGGUAACCUGCCUGUAAGACUGGGAUAACUCCGGGAAACCGGGGCUAAUACCGGAUGCUUGAUUGAACCGCAUGGUUCAAUCAUAAAAGGUGGCUUUUAGCUACCACUUGCAGAUGGACCCGCGGCGCAAUAGCUAGUUGGUGAGGUAACGGCUCACCAAGGCGACGAUGCGUAGCCCACCUGAGAGGGUGAUCGGCCACACUGGGACUGAGACACGGCCCAGACUCCUACGGGAGGCAGCAGUAGGGAAUCUUCCGCAAUGGACGAAAGUCUGACGGAGCAACGCCCCGUGAGUGAUGAAGGUUUUCGGAUCGUAAAACUCUGUUGUUAGGGAAGAACAAGUACCGUUCGAAUAGGGCGGCACCUUGACGGUACCUAACCAGAAAGCCACGGCUAACUACGUGCCAGCAGCCGCGGUAAUACGUAGGUGGCAAGCGUUGUCCGGAAUUAUUGGGCGUAAAGCGCGCGCAGGCGGUUUCUUAAGUCUGAUGUGAAAGCCCCCGGCUCAACCGGGGAAGGUCAUUGGAAACUGGGGAACUUGAGUGCAGAAGAAGAGAGUGGAAUUCCACGUGUAGCGGUGAAAUGCGUAGAGAUGUGGAAGAACACCAGUGGCCAAAGCGACUCUCUGGUCUGUAACUGACGCUUAAGCGCGAAAGCGUGGGGAACGAACAGGAUUAGAUACCCUGGUAGUCCACGCCGUAAACGAUGAAUGCUAAAUGUUUAGAAGGUUUCCGCCCUUUAAUGCUGCAGCAAACGCAUUAAGCACUCCGCCCGGGGAAUACGGUCGCAAGACUGAAACUCAAAGGAAUUGACGGGGGCCCGCACAAACGGUGGAGCCAUGUGGUUUUAAUUCGAAGCAACGCGAAGAAACCUUACCAGGUCUUGACAUCCUCUGACAACCCUAGAGAUAGGGCUUCCCCUUCGGGGGCAGAAUGACAGGUGGUUGCAUGGUUUGUCUUCACCUCCUGUCCUGAGAAUGUUUGGGUUUAAUUCCCGCCAACCAAACGCCAACCCUUUGAUCUUAAUUUCCCCACCAUUUAUUUUGGGCCCUUUAAAGUUAAUUUCCCCUUGACAAACCCCAAGAAAAA